rnacentral:rRNA from 1 species
GACGAACGCUGGCGGCGUGCCUAAUACAUGCAAGUAGAACGCACAGUUUAUACCGUAGCUUGCUACACCAUAGACUGUGAGUUGCGAACGGGUGAGUAACGCGUAGGUAACCUGCCUGGUAGCGGGGGAUAACUAUUGGAAACGAUAGCUAAUACCGCAUAAUAUUGAUUAUUGCAUGAUAAUUAAUUGAAAGGUGCAAUUGCACCACUACCAGAUGGACCUGCGUUGUAUUAGCUAGUAGGUGAGGUAACGGCUCACCUAGGCGACGAUACAUAGCCGACCUGAGAGGGUGAUCGGCCACACUGGGACUGAGACACGGCCCAGACUCCUACGGGAGGCAGCAGUAGGGAAUCUUCGGCAAUGGACGAAAGUCUGACCGAGCAACGCCGCGUGAGUGAAGAAGGUUUUCGGAUCGUAAAGCUCUGUCGUAAGAGAAGAACGGGUGUGAGAGUGGAAAGUUCACACUGUGACGGUAUCUUACCAGAAAGGGACGGCUAACUACGUG